rnacentral:lncRNA from 1 species
GCGCUGCGAGCUUCCCCGCAGCAGUGUCCUGCCCCAGGGCAGUGCCCCCCAUGCCGCUGUGCCCCACUGGGGAUGCCGGCUGCCCCCUCUACGGCCCUCGCGUGGGGCUGGUCGUGGUGCUGAUCCACCAUGUCUGCCUGUCGCAGGGGCCGCAAGGCGAGCCCGGCCCCCCCGGGCAGCAAGGGACGCCGGGAACCCAGGGUCUGCCGGGUCCCCAGGGUGCUACUGGACCUCCUGGCGAGAAGGUGAGAGSCGGACCCCGCGCCCGGGGCACGUGGGGCGGUGGGGGACGGUGCCACGCUGCUGCCUCUGACCUCGACUUCUCUCCCCGCAGGGCCCCCAGGGGAAACCCGGCCUGCCCGGCAUGCCYGGCUCCGACGGCCCCGCUGGCCACCCAGGGAAGGAGGGACCACCUGGCACCAAAGGCAACCAGGGCCCAUCGGGUCCCCAAGGCCCCAUCGGCUACCCGGGCCCCCGCGGUGUGAAGGUCAGUGCCUGACUUGGGGUGGGGGAACAAGAGGCAAUGGAAGGUGCUGGGUAUCAGCACC